UGGUGUUUGCCCAUGAGCCACAGACAUAGGUGUGUUGAUUUGAAUUCAUAGCAUUUUAUUUAUUAGUCACUUUAAAUUUGUAAUUACAUAAAUGAAUUUUCAUUUAUACAUCGAUUUAAAUUGAGACAAAUAAUAUGCAUUUCAGGAUGCAGCAGCGAUAUCCCAUACUCCUCCCCCAGUUACUAUAGCUGCAACUUCGAUGCCUGAGGUGUUGACAGGGGACGAAAUGUCCCAGAUUGAUGACAUCACGCUCUCAGCGAUCGAUUUUGGCCUACAAGGCUAUACGGGUACCCCCUCCGCAUCUAGGGCUCGUCCUAAGAAAAAGAAUUCCUCGAAGACGCCAAAACAUGGGAAGAAG